ACAUCUCAACUCCUCACGGUUUGCCCGUGAUGAGCUUGGACUUUGGGGGUCUUGCUGGCCUGCAGGUCGGCUCCUCUCAAAUGAAUCAGCUUGCCGGUGUUUGGCGGCGUCACAGGUGUGAUAACUAUCUACGCUUGUGGUUUUCCACCAGGUAACCCUCAGCAAUGGAGGUUCACCGGAGCUUACAAAUGUCUCUCCUCGGCGAGGACAGGUCUUUGAAC
rnacentral:misc_RNA from 1 species